rnacentral:rRNA from 1 species
GACGAACGCUGGCGGCGUGCUUAACACAUGCAAGUCGAGCGGAGCGGCGCACUGUUGAGUAACGCGUGAGUAACUGCCCCCCUCUCUGGGAUAACAGUUGUAAACGGCUGCUAAUACCGGAUAGUGUGGGAUGACUCGCGUCCUAUCGGCUUGUUGGUGGGGUAGGGGCCUACCAAGGCGACGACGGGUAGCCGGCCUGAGCGGGCGACCGGCCACAUUGGGCUGAGAUAAGGCCCAAACACCUACGGGAGGCAGCAGUGGGGAAUAGUGCACAAUGGGGGAAACCAUGAUGCAGAAACGCCGCGUGCGGGAUGACGGCCUUCGGGUUGUAAACCGCUUUCAGCCAUGACGCGGGAGUGGCAGAAGAAGCACCGGCUAACUACGUGCCAGCAGCAGCGGUAAUAC